AAAGAAGGAGGGACGAACUAGCAAGAACCAGAGAAAGAGAGGAGACAGUGUGCAUGAGAGAAGGAGUGAUAUAGAGGGGGGAGAGAGGCAGACAAGCUCGUAAAGUGAAGGAGUCGGUGAGGUAAACUUAGAGGGAGGAAGUGAGAAAUAGAACGUGACAGAUACAAAACAUGAUAUAAGGGAACAGACAGAUUCUCACCAAACAGGCAGAUGACAGAAACUAUAUAGAUAUACAUAGAGAGGUGUGUGUAUAGCUAUAUAGUUAUAUAGAUAUCCAACAAGGAAAGGAGUAGUCAGAUAUUAAUUUAAAAAACAUAUACACUACUAGAUGCAUGAAAGAAACUGAAAUUGGAGUCAGGCGGAUAUAAAACUAAAAGAAAGUAGGAACAGAGUACUUCAGAGAGUAUUGUGUGGUGAUGAACUCUCCCUCGACCUGAGUGACCACAGUUCAAGUGAAGUCCCUGCAGCAGACCGCCAAGAUGAGUGAGAUGUCCAGCUUCCUGCACAUUGGGGACAUCGUAUCCCUAUAUGCUGAAGGAACAGUGUGUGGCUUCAUCAGCACCCUGGGGUGAGUGUGACUAACAGAAAAGUAUUUCCGUAACUAAGGUUGCAUUGCAGGAACACGGCUGGAAUACAUAUAGCUUCUUGGCAUAUACUGACAUUUGUGUAUUGGUAG